AUAUGUACCUGGCAGGGGAGAUACCAUGAUCAAUAAGGUGGUUCUCCCAGGGUGAGGCCUUCCCCUUGCACUCUGAGCCAGCUGACCCCUGCGAUUUCCCUUAAGGUGGUUCUGCUAGA
rnacentral:snRNA from 1 species